rnacentral:rRNA from 1 species
GACGAACGCUGGCGGCGUGCUUAACACAUGCAAGUCGAACGGAAAGGCCCUGCUUUUGUGGGGUGCUCGAGUGGCGAACGGGUGAGUAACACGUGAGUAGCCUGCCCUUGACUUUGGGAUAACUUCAGGAAACUGGGGCUAAUACCGGAUAGGAUCUCCUGCUGCAUGGUGGGGGUUGGAAAGUUUCGGCGGUUGGGGAUGGACUCGCGGCUUAUCAGCUUGUUGGUGGGGUAGUGGCUUACCAAGGCGUUGACGGGUAGCCGGCCUGAGAGGGUGACCGGCGACAUUGGGACUGAGAUACGGCCCAGACUCCUACGGGAGGCAGCAGUGGGGAAUAUUGCACAAUGGGCGGAAGCCUGAUGCAGCAACGCCGGGUGCGGGAUGACGGCCUUCGGGUUGUAAACCGAUUUCGCCUGUGACGAAGCGUGAGUGACGGUAAUGGGUAAAGAAGCACCGGCUAACUACGUG